AUUCCAGCUCCAAUAGCGUAUAUUAAAGUUGUUGCAGUUAAAAAGCUCGUAGUUGGAUUUCUGGCAGGAGUGACUGACCACAAACUCUGUUUGUGAGUUGUGUCAUUCUGGCCAUCCUUGGUAAGAUCCUUUUUGGCAUUAAGUUGUCGGGAAGGGGAUGACCAUCGUUUACUGUGAAAAAAUUAGAGUGUUUAAAGCAGGCUUAUGCCGUUGAAUAUAUUAGCAUGGAAUAAUAAGAUAGGACUUUGGUUCUAUUUUGUUGGUUGGAGGCCAAGGUAAUGAUUAAUAGGGAUAGUUGGGGGUAUUCAUAUUUAAUUGUCAGAGGUGAAAUUCUUGGAUUUAUGAAAGAUGAACUUAUGCGAAAGCAUUUACCAAGGAUGUUUUCAUCA
rnacentral:rRNA from 1 species